ACGAGACACAGAACGUCUUACAACGGCCUCACGUUAGCCGUUAGUGCUUGAAGUAUACCUUUUGAUGGACUGCAAGACGUCCUUCUUUGGAGAGGAGGGGGAGGACAGGAGGCGUUUGUGUUGCAUGUAGCCGUUGCUCAGCGGCUUGGAGGGUAGAGUCUGCAGCAGCUGACGCACUGACGGCAACAAAGCUAGCAAUCGGUCAUGGAGGAUACUUGGUGACACACAAAAUCAGAUAAGAGACUUCCCUGCUCACCCUUGGUAGGCGGGGUCGCAGUGGCUCCCCCCAGGGACCUCCUCCCAGCGGCUUGAGCACCCGAUGCCUGCGAGGCCAGGCUGUGCUCCUCGCAGUAGCCCAGACGUCGCAGGGCGUCGGCCAGGGCGGCCUUCAGCAGCUGGAUCUCGUCCUCCUGGAGCUGCAGUUUCUGUUCCAGGUGGGACACGCGGUCCUCCAUGUCCAUGUUGCUGCCCGCCGACAUGGUGUCGUCUGCAAGACACAUUGGGACAUUUCUACGCUCUCUGUUGCUGCUUUGUGUUGCAUGCUUGGAGGACUUUGUUGGGGAGGAACGGUGACCUCUCAUAAAUGGACACACCGUUUUGUCACUUUCUAGAUCCUGGAGCUGUCCCAAUACUUUUGUCCAUGUAGUGUGAGAGGUUUUAAGUUUCUCCCAGGCUGAAAGAAGAGCUUAGAGGAAACAUAACCAUGUUGAAUAAUUCAGAUUUGGUGUGCAGGUAAUAGAAAGAAGAAAAAACAAUGAAGAUUAUUUGACUGGUGUGUUUAAAGUCAUGUGGGAUGCUAGCAUGUCUAUCGCUGCACAAAAUGAGACCAACAACCAUAAACCAAGACCUUCAUGUUUAAAAACAUGAGCUCAUGGCGCACAUUUCUCAUGACAAAAACCAAAAAGGCUCAGUUUUGCCCUUCGCCGCAAUGUCAUCGAGCCCUGUCGCAACCAAACACCACAGAUGGAUGGCAGGCCUGCGAUAAGACAAUGACAAGAAUGGCUGCGGAGUAGUCCAAUCCAAAAAAUCCAAACUAAAGCGUUAACAAUUUUAAGUAUUUCUUGUUUUUCCAACUUCUGACUCCAUCCAGCUCUUCGUGCUUACUGUCUGAUCAUCCGCCACAAUGACAUCAAGAGUGGAAAAGACGAUUAAUGAGACAAAAAUGUGCAUCUGCCGCCCACAUGAGCAGAUUACACAAAAACUACAACAACUUUAUUUGUAAUCUAAGUAGAAUCUAACCGACAACACAGAGUCCAUGAACUAUUCUUCUCACUUGCCUCGCAGGAAAUUUGUUAUGGAUGAUUAAAGCCUCACAAGUGAAAAGUUAAUUGUGGUGGUAUCACAUCUGGCAGUGAAAUGAGACAGGAAGCAGCGUUAAUAUUUCCAUAACGGCAUGAAGAUGGAUGGGGAUAAGGAGGACGAACAAUGCGGCAGCAGUUCAGACCGCUCACUUCCUUCAAACAGUCUCUUUGCUGCUACUGGCAACUUUAAAUCCAUGCAGGGCAGGGUGGUACACACUUUUUUUACAGAAAUAAAUACAGUUUUUAGCAUUAUUAGAACCCUCUAUACAUGAAAUAGCACCCCUAUAGUCACAUUUACACUUGUACAGUAUUACCCAAUAUAUUCAAAACAAUAAGAAAAAAAUACAAAUUG